UACGUAGGCAGCAAGCGUUGUUCGGAGUUACUGGGCGUAAAGGGUGCGUAGGCGGCUAUUUAAGUUUGGUGUGAAAUCUCCCGGCUCAACUGGGAGGGUGCGCCGAAUACUGAGUGGCUAGAGUGUGGCAGAGGAAAGUGGAAUUCCCGGUGUAGUGGUGAUAUGCGUAGAUAUCGGGAGGAACACCUGUGGCGAAGGCGGCUUCUGGGCCUUACCUGACGCUGAGACGCGAAAGCGUGGGGAGCGAACCGG
rnacentral:rRNA from 1 species